rnacentral:rRNA from 1 species
CCUACGGGUGGCAGCAGUGGGGGAUAUUGGACAAUGGGGGAAACCCUGAUGCAGCGACGCCGCGUGAGUGAAGAAGUACUUCGGUAUGUAAAGCUCUAUCAGCAGGGAAGAAAGAAAUGACGGUACCUGAGUAAGAAGCCGCGGCUAACUACGUGCCAGCAGCCGCGGUAAUACGUAGGGGGCAAGCGUUAUCCGGAAUUACGGGGUGUAAAGGGUGCGUAGACGGUAAUGCAAGCCAGGAGUGAAAGGCGGGGGCCCAACCCCCGGACUGCUCUUGAAACUGCGUAACUGGAGUGCAGGGGAGGCAGGCGGAAUUCCUGGUGUAGCGGUGAAAUGCGUAGAUAUCAGGAGGAAAACCAGUGGCGAAGGCGGCCUGCUGGACUGUAACUGACGUUGAGGCCCGAAAGCGUGGGGAGCAAACAGGAUUAGAUACCCUUGUAGUC